UAAAGGUCCUUCAAAAUUUCCCAAAUUAAAAUGUAGGCGCUUUUUUUUUUAUUUUUUUUUAUUUUUUUAAAUGUUCAUGAACUAUUGCAUGACGAAAUGUGCUAGAUUCGUCACUCUUUGUUGUUAUGGGUGUCAAAUUAGUUUCUUUUCAUUGCGCAUUGUUCUCAAAAUUAGCCAAAAAUUGGGCCUUUUUUUUAAUUUUUAAUUUCAUUAAAGGUAAAGUCAUUCGCAUUAUUAGUUCCAGAUAGCCUUUCUUUCUCUCAUUUUCCAAAACUUAUCUCUCUCACUUGAAUUCUCUCUCCCUCGAACUCUCUCUCCCUACAACUCUUUCUCUCUCUGCAACUCUCUCUCCCUCAAGCUCUCUAUCCCUGUAACUCUCUCGCUCCUGGUAACCUCUCUCCCAUAAACUUUAUCUCUCUUUCUCAACUUUGAGAUGUCGCAGUUAAUUAGGCAGCGUAGGUCAGUGAGUAUGUCCCCGUUGACACCUCCACCACCAACGAGUACAAUUGCCAUCACUCCACCAGCACUAGCCCCAACGUCGAGGGUUGUCUUACCUCUACCCUAGGCCUCGAUGUUUGCAAUGCCUAAGUCAUCUACUUCUUUGGUGACUCAUCCAUUACUGAGCACCCAACGGACUCAUCGACAAGCCCAGAUUACCGACGAGGAAGAGGAGUCUGCAUUGGAUUCUAUUGCAGAUGGAGAUGGAACCGACACAGAUAAUACAUGUUUUUGUGAAAAUUUCUAAUUUAAUAAAUUUAAUAUACUAUUAUUCGGUUCCCUUAUGUAUGAAUUGUUGGGUACUUGUGUUCGUUGUCUUGUAUAUUUGUUUGUAGGUUUUGGGAAAUGUUGUAUUUUUAGGGGAAGUUUUGUCGAUUUUUCAUAGAUUAUUUAAUUUGUUUUUACACUAGCUUAUUUCAAUUUUGCAGCUCGUAAAAACACUAGGGGCCCAUGCAGACUCAUGGGCACCUCACAGCUCACCCGCACUACCCAGGAGCAUAUAAAGAUUACGUGGGAUGCUCGAUAUCAGGCGGCAUCAACAAAGGAGCAGCACAAUUGUUUGAUCCAGGAUAUUGGCUCUGUUGUGCGUCACCACUGCCCCAUGCAAUGGGAGUCUUGGAGACUUGUUCCACAGGAGACCAAGGACAUCGUUCUUCAUGAGCUAUCGCAUCACUAUGAGCUCGAGGACCUUGAUACCAAUCAAACCAAAUACAUCCACAAACUUUUCAUUGGACGGUUCACUCAGUGGAAGAGUGACCUCCACAAGUAUUUCUAGAAAUUCGACGAUUCGGUUGUCGCUCUAGCACAUGGGUGCCCCUAGCCAAGGCCAACACAAUAAAUAGGUUGAAGAAGAAGCUUCUCCACCACUUCGGCUCCUGACGCUUCUCAUAUAGAAUAAAGGAGUGACGUCAGACGAGGUCGAAGUUUUCUGAGAUUGACACAUUCAAGGAGGUGUAUGUGUGGCCUAGCGAUGUGUUGACGGAGGAUCUCCAUGCUACUAUGGUCGAGAGGAGUCCGGUUGUCCUUGAGGAAGUGGCUUCAUAGAUUCCCCCUGACACCCCGAUGGAGGAGUUGCCUCCCCCCUCCCAAGAUGCUUGUCUUUGUAUCAUGACGGACACCCUCGACCAGAAACUCGGUCCUAAGCAGGGGAAGGUGUAUCGAGGCAUGGGAAAUGCCUGCCAUCGUGAGAUAGGAGCCUCAUCUUCCACCUCCACCUUGGUACAUAUCGCAUCAUUGACGAAGCAAGUAGCGGAGAGGCUUCAACAUCCCCGCCAGUACACCUUCUCCUACCACACCUUCGACCUCCCAAGCCUCCAACCUAACACAGCCGACUACCGAAGCUGACUCUAAUGACUUUUUAUUGUACUUUUUUUUUUAAUUAAACAUUUGUACUUUUAAAAUUUUUCCCAGCUUGUACAUUCUUUUUUAUAUUUAUUUUUAAUUAAUAU